rnacentral:rRNA from 76 species
UGACCUCGGAUCAGGUAGGGAUACCCGCUGAACUUAAGCAUAUC